UUUAUUCAGAAGACAAAAUGGAGCCACAUGUGGCUAUUAGGUGGGUCUAAAGCCGGGACUAUAUAAACUAAAUAAAAAAUGAGCCACCUCAGUGCAGGCUUUCCACCAGGAAGAUCCAGUCAGGGCCACAGCUGGCUCUCGGUACCAAAAAGCCACGGGCACGCACUAUGGAGACCCUAAUUAAUGCCUUCCCAGCUCCUGAGCCCUUGACCAGGCCCCUUUUUAUGCCGCCUCUUACUCCUUGGACUGGCAUCAGCGUGCACCUAGCCCCCAGUGUUCUCUAGGACUGAAUGGCACCCCACUUUGGCUCAUUUCUCCUGACUCUUUGAGUAACCACCUCCUUUCUCAGUGCUGGGCUCCAGAUUCCCGCUUCUACCCCGGCCACCCGGCCGGCACCCUGAGGAGACCGUGCCUGACACCCUGCCUGACACCGCGAAGGACGACUGGACAAGUCCUGGGGGUCAAACUUGGGACCUUGCACUCGCAACGCAGGCAACAGAACCACUGAGCUGAAUCCCCGCCUCCUUCCUCACUCCUGCCGUUCCCCUGCCCUGCUUUCUGACGCCAAGCUUUGCCUCACCUGCCAGCAGAUGUUUCUCCCCGGAGCCAGCUGACCAUGGACCGAAUCUCCUGAAACCAUGACCCAAACUAAAUCCCUGAAGUCGUGGGUAUCAGAUGCUGUCUCUGAGAAAGCUGAAAAUAGUCUCACUACGAACACUGAAAUUUGGACUCAGGCUUCCCUUGCAUUUUAUGGUGAACAGCCCAACAGGGCUCGGGCCCAAGCAUCGCCGGGCUCAACCAGCCUCUGCCAGGAACUGUCGGUGUUGAGGUUUCUGUUGAACUGAUCGGAGCUAUUCAAGGAGUCACUGCUCGAGGUACUCACUCAACAAGUAUUUGUGAGUCCUACUAUGUGUGGGGUGUGUGCCGGGGCUGGCGACACGGGGACAAACAAGACUUGGCCUUCAGGGGCUCAGUUUGAGGAGAGGUUGCCCAAUACCCAAAGGCCACGUGGGAAGUGUGGCACCGCAGAUUACCAGGGCGAGCUGGGGUGGGGACCUCAGAGGGCAUGGGAAAGAGCAGAGGCAAGCAGCAGCCCAGCUCCAGUCCUCAUAAGAAAGCCAGCAGGACAUCCAGGAGUGGUUCCCUGUGCUAGGCGCUCCUACCUUUGAGCCUGAAGUAAGCCUCUGCCUCUAGGGAGGCGUGACCUGCAAUCCAGGAAGAGGGACACCCGUUCUUGCUUGGUAUAACCUCCCUUGAAGAGUCUCUAGGGCCACAUAUCAAGGCAGAAAGCUCCUCGUCUCCUCCACGUUCAUGACCAAAAAUCUCUGAGCUGAGGAUGACGGUCCCUUCCUGUGCCAGCCUCGGUGGGGAGGACGCGGGUCUUGGUGGCCACAUCCCUCCCCAUGCGCUCACGCCCGCCCCUCCCCGGUGAAGCCAUCCGACCCGCUCCCUCCGGCAGGCUUCCUCCCCUCCUCUCAAGGUGUCCACGGCACUCCUGGACUCACUCCAAACCCUCCUCGUCCCUCCUCAAAGACAAAACCCAGAGCUGGACUGGGAAGCGGGGGUGUGGGGCCAAAGACUUUCUGUCCCUGUUCCUACAAUCCCUUAAGGCCUCCACAGCAGGUUAAAUGAAUCUUUUUACGUGACAACCAGGAGAGACCCUGGGAUGACAGCACCGAGGGGAAGAGGCGGAGGAGGGUAAAAUACAGUUCCUUCAGGUUUAAUUAGGGAUACCCGGCCCCCAUGGUUACCAACAUUACCAUUCCUGGCUCCACUACCUCUCUGUGAACACUGAAAAGUGCUUUGGGGCU